GAAAUGCGAUAAGUAGUGUGAAUUGCAGAAUUCAGUGAAUCAUCGAAUCUUUGAACGCACAUUGCGCCCCUCGGUAUUCCGUGGGGCAUGCCUGUUCGAGCGUCAUCUACACCCUCAAGCUCUGCUUGGUGUUGGGCGUCUGUCCCGCCUCCGCGCGCGGACUCGCCCCAAACGCAUUGGCAGCGGUUCCUUGCCCCCCUCUUUGCGCAGCACAUUGCCAUUCGAGGCGGCGGCGGCCCGCGUCCAACAAGCUCAACCCCCCCGUCUUUGACCUCGGAUCAGGUAGGGAUACCCGCUGAACUUAAGC
rnacentral:misc_RNA from 1 species